rnacentral:pre_miRNA from 14 species
CUUUUAAAUUCUGUUGCAGCAGAUAGCUGAUACCCAAUGUUAUCUUUUGCGGCAGAAAUUGAAAG